rnacentral:lncRNA from 1 species
UGAGAAAAGGCCUCUGGAUGCUUAUCUUGCACCAGCCCCUUUGCCUUCCUUCAGUGGUAAAACAGGUCAGAAAGAAGCUGGUUUUCCCAGCUCAAUGACCUCUGAGCCGGGUUAUCCAGUCAUUAUCUCCCUUCCCGCUAUCCCACAAGAAUACACAUAAUGGCAGAAUUAAGCAGUCACUGGUUAAUAGUCUUUGUGCUAGCUCCUGUUCAGGGAACAAGAACACAGGGCUCUGCAAAGACACCUGUAGCAAGUCACUGUGAUUUAGGGCAGUCUGUGUACUGCACCAACAUCUGCCUGAGCAUGUAAGUCCUCCCAGAGCACAAAGGAACCAGUUUUGUUCCCUGGGAGCCUCCUCCACGCAUUCCUGGCUGCACCUCGCCCUGUGCUGCACCAAGACCUACAGCUUGGCACAGCCAGGAAAUGCAGCCAAAGAUCUCUGUGAUCCGUUCUGGGCUCUGCCCCUGCUGUGCUGUGGGGCCUGAGCAACGAGCUGCAGAACAGGCAGGAUAGACUGAGACAUCCUGUGUCUUCUGGGGACCUUGUGUCUGUGACCUGCCUGAAGACUAAUACACACCUGGCGGCCUCGAAGGAAGGGAUACGUAAGUUGCAGGCAGCCAUGCCCAGCACACAUAUGCAGAGCUUCAGUGCUGAACAUCAGUUUGCCUCACAGGCUUCAAGAUUUGCAGCUGGAUUUUGGAGAACUGUUACAGAGCUCAAGAGAUUGAGAGCACUGUUCAUUGCUAUGCAACAAAUCACAAAGGUCAGCAGACUCUGACCCUGAAAAGCAGCUGUGUUAUAGCAGUCACUGGAAAACACCAGUCCUUGCACAUAAAAUUGCUUCAAGCAAGAACAUCUUUCCCAGAAAGACUGAGAUCUGCAUGCUGGAUCAUGUUUUUCUUCGGAACAGCAGGAGGUAAGUAAAGCCCUUUAUACGGAAAAGUUUCUAUACAUACAUCCAUACACACAAAUAUGCCCAGGCAUAAUAUGGGGGCAUUUUAAUAGCACCAAGAGCAUCUCCAGGUGCAACAAACGUUAGUCAGAGCCUUAUCUCUCUGCUGCCCCUUGCCCCAGCUCUGGAGAUAACCACUCUUGGAGCACUCUGGAGACAACCACUCCUGGAGCUGUGAACUGCUCCCUGAGCUGCCUCCCCAGCUCUGGA